CUCCCAGACUCCUACGGGAGGCAGCAGUGGGGGAUAUUGGACAAUGGGGGGAACCCUGAUCCAGCGACGCCGCGUGAGUGAAGAAGUAUCUCGGUAUGUAAAGCUCUAUCAGCAGGGAAGAAGAAAUGACGGUACCUGAGUAAGAAGCCCCGGCUAACUACGUGCCAGCAGCCGCGGUAAUACGUAGGGGGCAAGCGUUAUCCGGAUUUACUGGGUGUAAAGGGGGCGCAGACGGCGAUGCAAGCCAGGAGUGAAAGGCCGGGGCCCAACCCCGGGACUGCUCUUGGAACUGCGUGGCUGGAGUGCAGGAGGGGCAGGCGGAAUUCCUGGUGUAGCGGUGAAAUGCGUAGAUAUCACGCAGAACUCCGACUGCGAAGGCAGCAUACCGGCGCCCAACUGACGCUGAAGCACGAAAGCGUGGGUAUCGAACAGGAUUAGAUACCCCGGUACC
rnacentral:rRNA from 1 species